GACGUAGGGCGCGAGCGUUGUCCGGAUUUAUUGGGCGUAAAGAGCUCGUAGGCGGCUCGUUGCGUCAACCGUGAAAACCCGCAGCUCAACUGUGGGCUUGCAGCUGAUACGGGCAGGCUUGAGUUCGGUAGGGGAGACUGGAAUUCCUGGUGUAGCGGUGAAAUGCGUAGAUAUCUGGAGGAACACCGGUGGCGAAGGCGGCAUCCUGGACCGGUAUUGACGCUGAGGCGCGAAAGCCAGGGAGGCAAACGGG
rnacentral:rRNA from 1 species